rnacentral:rRNA from 1 species
UACGUAGGUGGCGAGCGUUAUUCGGAAUCACUGGGCGUAAAGGGUCCGUAGGGGGCAAGGUCAGUCUGAUGUGAAAGCCGGGGGCUCAACCCCCGAAGUGCAUUGGAUACUGCCUUGCUAGAGUGUGUGAGAGGUAAGCGGAAUUCGUGGUGUAGCGGUGGAAUGCGUAGAUAUCACGAGGAAGACCAAAGGCGUAAGCAGCUUACUGGCACAUAACUGACCCUGAGGGACGAAAGCUAGGGGAGCGAAAAGG